rnacentral:rRNA from 1 species
CAAAAUGAGAGUUUUGAUCCUGGCUCAGGACGAACGCUGGCGGCGUGCCUAAUACAUGCAAGUCGAGCGAGCAGAACCAGCAGAUUUACUUCGGUAAUGACGCUGGGGACGCGAGCGGCGGAUGGGUGAGUAACACGUGGGGAACCUGCCCCAUAGUCUAGGAUACCACUUGGAAACAGGUGCUAAUACCGGAUAAUAAAGCAGAUCGCAUGAUCAGCUUAUAAAAGGCGGCGUAAGCUGUCGCUAUGGGAUGGCCCCGCGGUGCAUUAGCUAGUUGGUAAGGUAACGGCUUACCAAGGCAAUGAUGCAUAGCCGAGUUGAGAGACUGAACGGCCACAUUGGGACUGAGACACGGCCCAAACUCCUACGGGAGGCAGCAGUAGGGAAUCUUCCACAAUGGACGCAAGUCUGAUGGAGCAACGCCGCGUGAGUGAAGAAGGUUUUCGGAUCGUAAAGCUCUGUUGUUGGUGAAGAAGGAUAGAGGUAGUAACUGGCCUUUAUUUGACGGUAAUCAACCAGAAAGUCACGGCUAACUACGUGCCAGCAGCCGCGGUAAUACGUAGGUGGCAAGCGUUGUCCGGAUUUAUUGGGCGUAAAGCGAGCGCAGGCGGAAGAAUAAGUCUGAUGUGAAAGCCCUCGGCUUAACCGAGGAAUUGCAUCGGAAACUGUUUUCUUGAGUGCAGAAGAGGAGAGUGGAACUCCAUGUGUAGCGGUGGAAUGCGUAGAUAUAUGGAAGAACACCAGUGGCGAAGGCGGCUCUCUGGUCUGCAACUGACGCUGAGGCUCGAAAGCAUGGGUAGCGAACAGGAUUAGAUACCCUGGUAGUCCAUGCCGUAAACGAUGAGUGCUAAGUGUUGGGAGGUUUCCGCCUCUCAGUGCUGCAGCUAACGCAUUAAGCACUCCGCCUGGGGAGUACGACCGCAAGGUUGAAACUCAAAGGAAUUGACGGGGGCCCGCACAAGCGGUGGAGCAUGUGGUUUAAUUCGAAGCAACGCGAAGAACCUUACCAGGUCUUGACAUCUAGUGCCAUCCUAAGAGAUUAGGAGUUCCCUUCGGGGACGCUAAGACAGGUGGUGCAUGGCUGUCGUCAGCUCGUGUCGUGAGAUGUUGGGUUAAGUCCCGCAACGAGCGCAACCCUUAUUAUUAGUUGCCAGCAUUAAGUUGGGCACUCUAAUGAGACUGCCGGUGACAAACCGGAGGAAGGUGGGGAUGACGUCAAGUCAUCAUGCCCCUUAUGACCUGGGCUACACACGUGCUACAAUGGGCAGUACAACGAGAAGCGAGCCUGCGAAGGCAAGCGAAUCUCUGAAAGCUGUUCUCAGUUCGGACUGCAGUCUGCAACUCGACUGCACGAAGCUGGAAUCGCUAGUAAUCGCGGAUCAGAACGCCGCGGUGAAUACGUUCCCGGGCCUUGUACACACCGCCCGUCACACCAUGGAAGUCUGCAAUGCCCAAAGCCGGUGGCCUAACCUUCGGGAAGGAGCCGUCUAAGGCAGGGCAGAUGACUGGGGUGAAGUCGUAACAAGGUAGCCGUAGGAGAACCUGCGGCUGGAUCACCUCCUUU